rnacentral:rRNA from 1 species
ACKGCUCAGUAACACGUGGACAACCUGCCCUUGAGACGGGGAUAAACCCGGGAAACUGGGUAUAAUACCCGAUAGAUCUCGAUUGCUGGAAUGCAUCGAGCUUGAAAGCUCCGGCGCUCAAGGAUGGGUCUGCGGCCUAUCAGGUAGUAGUGGGUGUAGCGUACCUACUUGCCUACGACGGGUACGGGUUGUGAGAGCAAGAGCCCGGAGAUGGAUUCUGAGACACGAAUCCAGGCCCUACGGGGUGCAGCAGGCGCGAAAACUUUACAAUGCUGGAAACAGCGAUAGGGGGACCUCGAGUGCCAGGUUACAAAUCUGGCUGUCGUGAUGCCUAAAAAGCAUUGCAUAGCAAGGGCCGGGCAAGACCGGUGCCAGCCGCCGCGGUAACACCGGCGGCUCGAGUGGUAACCGUUAUUAUUGGGUCUAAAGGGUCUGUAGCCGGCCGGAUAAGUCUCUUGGGAAAUCUGGCAGCUUAACUGUCAGGCUUUCAGGAGAUACUGUCUGGCUCGAGGCCGGGAGAGGUGAGAGGUACUUCAGGGGUAGGGGUGAAAUCUUGUAAUCCUUGAAGGACCACCAGUGGCGAAGGCGUCUCACCAGAACGGACCUGACGGCAAGGGACGAAAGCUAGGGGCACGAACCGGAUUAGAUACCCGGGUAGUCCCAGCUGUAAACGAUGCAGGCUAGGUGUUAGGGCGGCUACGGGCCGCUCUAGUGCCGCAGGGAAGCUGUUAAGCCUGCCGCUUGGGGAGUACGGCCGCAAGGCUGAAACUUAAAGGAAUUGGCGGGGGAGCAC